UGAGCCUACGGGACGCAGCAGUGAGGAAUAUUGGUCAAUGGCCGAGAGGCUGAACCAGCCAAGUCGCGUGAGGGAAGACGGCCCUACGGGUUGUAAACCUCUUUUGUCGGGGAGCAAAGCGAGUCACGUGUGACUCAUUGAGAGUACCCGAAGAAAAAGCAUCGGCUAACUCCGUGCCAGCAGCCGCGGUAAUACGGAGGAUGCGAGCGUUAUCCGGAUUUAUUGGGUUUAAAGGGAGCGUAGACGGCUGCGCAAGUCUGAAGUGAAAGCCCGGGGCUCAACCCCGGGACUGCUUUGGAAACUGU
rnacentral:rRNA from 1 species